UACGUAGGGGGCAAGCGUUGUCCGGAAUCAUUGGGCGUAAAGCGCGUGUAGGCGGUCCGAUAAGUCGGUUGUGAAAGUCAAGGGCUCAACCCUUGAAUGCCGACCGAUACUGUCGGGCUAGAGUCCGGAAGAGGUGAGUGGAAUUCCUGGUGUAGCGGUGAAAUGCGCAGAUAUCAGGAAGAACACCCGUGGCGAAGGCGGUUCUCUGGGACGGUACUGACGCUGAGACGCGAAAGCGUGGGGAGCGAACAGG
rnacentral:rRNA from 1 species